ACGCAGCAAAAUGCGAUAAGUAAUGUGAAUUGCAGAAUUCAGUGAAUCAUCGAAUCUUUGAACGCACAUUGCGCCCGCCAGUAUUCUGGCGGGCAUGCCUGUUCGAGCGUCAUUUCAACCCUCAAGCUCAGCUUGGUGUUGGGACUCGCGGUAACCC
rnacentral:rRNA from 1 species